rnacentral:rRNA from 1 species
ACUACGGGAGGCAGCAGUGAGGAAUAUUGGUCAAUGGGCGGAAGCCUGAACCAGCCAAGUAGCGUGCAGGAUGACGGCCCUACGGGUUGUAAACUGCUUUUAUACGGGAAUAACGCGCCUUACGUGUAGGGCUUUGCAUGUACCGUAUGAAUAAGGACCGGCUAAUUCCGUGCCAGCAGCCGCGGUAAUACGGAAGGUCCGGGCGUUAUCCGGAUUUAUUGGGUUUAAAGGGAGCGUAGGCCGCAUGUCAAGCGUGCUGUGAAAUGUCCGGGCUCAACCCGGGCCUUGCAGCGCGAACUGGCGUGCUUGAGUCCGCGGAAAGCAGGCGGAAUGCGUCGUGUAGCGGUGAAAUGCUUAGAUAUGACGAAGAACCCCGAUUGCGAAGGCAGCUUGCUGCAGCGGAACUGACGCUGAUGCUCGAAAGCGCGGGUAUCGAACAGGAUUAGAUACCCUUGUAGUC